rnacentral:rRNA from 1 species
UACAGAGGGGGCUAGCGUUGUUCGGAAUCACUGGGUGUAAAGGGUGCGUAGGCUGUCCGUUAAGUCUGAUGUGAAAGCCCUGGGCUCAACUCAGGAAUUGCAUUGGAAACUGGCGGACUCAGAGUACCGGAGAGGGAAGCGGAAUUCCUGGUGUAGCGGUGAAAUGCGUAGAUACCAGGAGGAACACCGGUGGCGAAAGCGGUUUCCUGGCCGAGUACUGACGCUGAGGCACGAAAAGCGUGGGGAGCGAACGGGGA